GCUCAUCUAAAUCCCUUGUAUCCUGGCCUAGUCGUCAUAAAACUGUAUUCAUCAGCAUUUUUGUGGCAGCCCCCCACCCAGACCCCAACUUCUGCAGUAACUCUCACUGACCCGGAAGCACCGUAGCCCAGUGCUCUUUUAAUCUCAGAUUCACGGCUAACUUACUUUCCUGGUCUGCUAUGUAUGGUAGGGUCCCCUAGAUCAACCUGCCACACCCAUCUAUUUAAAACCGUUGCCUCACAGAGUACAAACUUGUAAAGUCCCUCCCCAGUUCAACCUGUUCAAAUUCUCCACCACUGGCAUGUAAUUAUCUACAUACGUGUUGAUUUCUGAUCACCGCUUUGUUCUCACUACUGGGCUGUUAGGUUUUUGAGGACUCGGGCCUGACUGUCUGUUUAGCAUACACUAAGAAAUGGGGCGAUUAUUUAGGCAGCAAAGCAAAAGUUAAUUCUGGCGUCGAGUCCCCUGAAAGCAUAUGCUGAACAGGGCUAGAGUUUUUCUGAAGACUUGUCUGUGGUUUCUUCAGAUUCCUGUGAGUCCCCCAAAGUUAAGAAUUGCUUGAGGCCCACCUUGAACCCCAGUUCUGAAAAUUCUAUCCUUACUCCCUGUCCCCUUGUUUGUUUAAGACAGAGGUAGCCUGUGUUGCCCAGGCUGGCAUGUUGACACCAGAGAGCCUUCUGUGGGAGGCCAUUAAGACUGCAUUUUGAUCAUGAGUAUAUAGGAUAUGCAUAAAAAAAUCAUUGAUUCAUGUUGUUGCUAGGGGUCAUGACCAUGGUGGGCUGGGAUGGGGGAAAUUAUUCAAAUGCUGAUGGAUGCAUUUUUAUGACUGCCUGACCAAGACAAGAGAGGAAAAGAGCAAGCUGGCCCUGGAGAGCGGGUUUUAGCAUCCCUGAGGUUUUCUCCUGCCUCAGUCUCCCAAGCGCUGAGGUUUCAAGUGCUUCUGUCCCUCUCUUUUCUAAGUUGACUGGACAGCACGCUAUAUAGACUUCUUUCUGACUUAAUCUUUUAAAACCUGUUUGGUUUUGUGUAUACUAGAGUGCCUCUGUUUGGGUGUGUGCACUUGAGUGCAGGUGCAUUUGGAGCCCGGAGGUGUCCGGCAAACCUCUGGGAACUAGUUACGGAUGGUCGUGAGCCACCUGAUGUGGGUGCUGGGGACUGAACUUGGGUCCUACCCGAGAGCAGCACAUACUCUUAACUACUGAGCCAUCUCUCCAGCUCCUUUAAUUUAUUCUUCUCUGUGUGUGUAUGGGGGUAUUUGAGUGUGUGGUGUUUGAGACAGUCUCACGCAGCCAAGACUGGGCUAGGACUCACUGUAUUAUGUAGUAAGGUUGGCCUUGGACUCCCGCCUCCACCUCCUGAGUGGUAGGAUUCUGACCAGCUUUGUUUUUGUCUUUGGAGAGGGUUUGUGUUAUGGUUACUAUUGCUUGUCAAUCCCAAAGAAUCCAGCUAUGAGACCAACCUCUGGGCAUGCCUGUGAGAGAUUUCCUAGACUAGGUUAGUUUCCAGGUACGUCUGUAGGAUUAAGUUGAUUGACUGAACUCCAUUCCAUGGGCUGGAGUCCUGAACAGAAUAGAAGAAGAAAGAGUGAGCUGGGCACUAUCAUUCAUCUCCUUCUGUUUCCCAAACGCAGAUGCAAUGAAGCUGUCUAGUACCUGCUCCUGGUGCCACAACUCCUCACGGUGAUGGGUGAUAGGCUCUACCCUGGAACUCUGAAACAUAGUCAGCCUUCUUUUCCUUAAGCUACUUUGUCUCCUAUUUUGUUGCAACAAGGAGGAGGAAAUCACUCUCCCAGUGGGACACACUGGGUUUUGCAGGCCACAGCUUGCAGUCCGCUUGCCUCAGCUUUCCCAGUAUCUGGGAUCAUAAGCACAUGUCAUAAAUGUGCCAUGACUGGAUAAGACACAGAUCAAGCCACAGAGUGAAGGGAAUCACGGUCCUGGCAGUGACACCGACAUGGAGUGUCAUGUUAAAAUGCUGGCUACAGAGAAGAGCUCGGCACUAAAAACAGAUUCUAUACUCAUGUACAAUACUUCUGUUCUAUGUUUUACAGCUUAAGAGAACUGGAGACGAAUUACAAGCUUGCCUGUGCUUUUAUAUUUCUUUAAUUGAUAUCCCACCCAUUAAAAAUCUGUUGUCUGUGA